rnacentral:misc_RNA from 1 species
AAGGUCAUAACAAGGUUUCCUGUAGGUGAACCUGCAGAAGGAUCAUUAUUGAAUUGUUAAAUGGGGAAAUCUUUCCGAGAUUCCUCUACAUUCUUUAUUCCUAACACCUGUGAAUCGUUGCUGAGUUUCGCUCAGUAGCAACAUUUUUUGAUACACACAUAACUAGUUUUAGAACGUAAAAAACUAUUAUAAUAAAAAUUUACAA